rnacentral:rRNA from 1 species
AUUGAACGCUGGCGGCAUGCCUUACACAUGCAAGUCGAGCGGCAGCGCGGGGGCAACCCUGGCGGCGAGCGGCGGACGGGUGAGGAAUGCAUCGGAAUCUACCUCGUUGUGGGGGAUAACCUCGGGAAACCGGGACUAAUACCGCAUACGACCUACGGGUGAAAGUGGGGGACCUUCGGGCCUCACGCGAUGAGAUGAGCCGAUGCCGGAUUAGCUAGUUGGCGGGGUAAAGGCCCACCAAGGCGACGAUCCGUAGCUGGUCUGAGAGGAUGAUCAGCCACACUGGAACUGAGACACGGUCCAGGCUCCUACGGGAGGCAGCAGUGGGGAAUAUUGCACAAUGGACGAAAGUCUGAUGCAGCAACGCCGCGUGGAGGAUGACACAUUUCGGUGCGUAAACUCCUUUUAUAUAGGAAGAUAAUGACGGUACUAUAUGAAUAAGCACCGGCUAACUCCGUG